CCUACGGGGCGCAGCAGUGAGGAAUAUUGGUCAAUGGACGAGAGUCUGAACCAGCCAAGUAGCGUGAAGGAUGACUGCCCUAUGGGUUGUAAACUUCUUUUAUAUGGGAAUAAAAUGUUCCACGUGUGGGAUUUUGUAUGUACCAUAUGAAUAAGGAUCGGCUAACUCCGUGCCAGCAGCCGCGGUAAUACGGAGGAUCCGAGCGUUAUCCGGAUUUAUUGGGUUUAAAGGGAGCGUAGGUGGAUUGUAAAGUCAGUUGUGAAAGUUUGCGGCUCAACCGUAAAAUUGCAGUUGAAACUGGCAGUCUUGAGUACAGUAGAGGUGGGCGGAAUUCGUGGUGUAGCGGUGAAAUGCUUAGAUAUCACGAAGAACUCCGAUUGCGAAGGCAGUUCACUGGACUGCAACUGACACUGAGGCUCGAAAGUGUGGGUAUCAAACAGGAUUAGAUACCCCAGUAGUC
rnacentral:rRNA from 1 species